GACGAACGCUGGCGGCGUGCUUAACACAUGCAAGUCGAACGGAAAGGCCCUGCUUGCAGGGUACUCGAGUGGCGAACGGGUGAGUAACACGUGGGUGAUCUGCCCUGCACUUCGGGAUAAGCCUGGGAAACUGGGUCUAAUACCGGAUAGGAGCCAUUUUUAGUGUGAUGGUUGGAAAGUUUUUUCGGUGUAGGAUGAGCUCGCGGCCUAUCAGCUUGUUGGUGGGGUAAUGGCCUACCAAGGCGGCGACGGGUAGCCGGCCUGCGAGGGUGGACGGCCACAAUGGGACUGAGAUACGGCCCAGACUCCUACGGGAGGCAGCAGUGGGGAAUAUUGCACAAUGGGCGCAAGCCUGAUGCAGCGACGCCGCGUGGGGGAUGACGGCCUUCGGGUUGUAAACUCCUUUCGCUAGGGACGAAGCUUUUUGUGACGGUACCUAGAUAAGAAGCACCGGCUAACUACGUG
rnacentral:rRNA from 1 species